rnacentral:lncRNA from 1 species
UUUCUCAGAAUUCAAAAAGGUUGUGUGUUCGCAAUCCUUAAUUUUGAAAAACUUAAUGAUGGAAGAGGCUAUGUAUCCAGAUAUAUUAAACAAUAGAUUGGCUUGAGAUUCUUCCAUAUUAAAAUUAGAACUAAAAAACUUAAAAUAAAUAAUAUAUAUGUAUUAGGAACAAUUAUCACUGCUUACAAAUUAAAUGAUGUUUUUACUUUCACAAUCAUACUUGUUAUUUGAUUUUCAUUUAAUAUUCUUAAGUUUCUAGUAUAAAUUCAUUUCUUUAUUUUUUUAAAUAUAUACGUAAUAUUAACAUAAUGAUAUAUGUUCUCUUAAUUAAAAUAAAAGUAUUGAAAAAUGUUCAUAAAUGACAUAAUAUAUCCCUUCAAUGCUACGAUAUAACUACAUACAAGGAAAUCUAUAGUUAGAGGAAGGGACAUCUUUUUUACUCAGGACCAAUGGAGGUGAAAAGGAGAAGUUUAGCUUUUGAUUCCCAUACUAUUUUACUUCUAAGAAUCUCUUCAUUCUAGUAUUUUCCUUAUUUUUUAUCAGGCCUCAUAGGUAUCAUGAUAUGGACUCAUAUUGGACUUUGAAAAAGUAUAUGCUUUACCCGUCUGAAGAUCUAUGUGCCAUGGCAUAGAUGAUGUAUUGCGUGCAUGGCAAGAGGUCGAUUCGUGGGUGAAUAGAUCUUUUGAUAGAUAUCGUCUCCAUCUAUUUUUAUCAAGUUGGAUACCACCCGGACUGUUCUAUUCAUCUCAUUUUAUUAUAGACUUCUACUCAUGAAUCACACUCAACUCGGGCAAGAUACCAUAAGGACUUUAGAAUAAUCCCGGAAUCGUUAGACGAACUCAAGUUUGGAAAAAGAGGAUUCCACUACAACACAGUAUAUUAUAUUCGAAUGAAAGAGUGUUCUGAUAAAUGUGCUUUCAUAAUCUAAGGAUAUCUAUGUAUUAAGUAAAGAAAAAUAUUGUUAUCCCCUCUACUCUCUGUGUAUUUUAAAAGAGGCUUAAGUAGGCAUGUUAAAGAAUAAAAUAUCCCUCCAUAA